GAAGGCCUUUAACACAAAGUAGAAUAAGCCUUUUGCAGGUGGCUUUUUAUAGGCGUUCGAACCAAAGGUUAUUUCUCGAUUGAAAACAUCAGCAUAAUCACCUCUGAUUCUGUUCAUUGCGUCACUUUUAAGAGCUGAAACAAUACCAUCAACCCCACCGAAACUUCUAAGUCGGUCAAGAUUUUCAUCCUCCACAAGCUUAGAGAGACUUGCUUCAUCAAUGUGCUCAGUCUCUGACUUGACAUCAAUUGCAGUGUAAGACAGAGCGCGUGAUAGUUUGCCAUUUAAUUGCUGUUUUACAGCGUUUUUGGCA
rnacentral:misc_RNA from 1 species